rnacentral:lncRNA from 1 species
UCCAUGCGCUUACCAAACGCAGAACGAAACAACAAUCUCAUUCCGUCCUACGCAUACCAAACAUAACAUGGAACAUCUAUUCCGCCCCGUCUCGUUCUAUCCCGUCUCAUCCCAUCCCGUUCCGUUCCGUCCCAUCUGCGUACCAAACAGUACCUUAUCACAGUUGUGAAAAUUUGGUGAGCCCUUGUAUAACGGCGUAAGUUCAAAUCCCAUUGAUGCUAAUCUAAUAUCUAAUCUAACAAAAUCUAUCGUUUAACCAAAAAAAAAAAAAGAUUUUAAGUAUAAAUACAACGAUAAAAAAAAUUUCAACCCAAACAAAAAAAUUGAGCACGUCAACACACUAACCAUAUAGCUGACCGAAUCCUAGCAAAAGAACAAAGUUGAUGUCAAAUAGUAAAUUUCAAGGACUACAUUGAUUGAUUUUGAAAUUGAGAAACAAAAAUGAGAUUUUUGAACAAUUUCAGAAACUAUUUGUACUGAAAGGACUAGGUCAUAUCAGUCUUCUUUUGGGUUGAAAGCCCACUAGCUUGAGAAUCACUACUUGGUUGAGGAUCAUGGCUUUUUAACUCGAGGUAAUCCAUUCUCGACCAAAUUGUUAAUUUAGAUCCAAACAAUUAUUUCAUCUUUCACUUUAUUCAUUCCAAAUGCUAGAAAGACGGCUAAAAAAAAUGUAAAAAUCAACUCCCUUGAUGUUAUAACUUAUAUGCACGAAGUGAAGUGCACGCUUUGAAUUCAUAGGCUUUUGGUUACUCAAUAAUACACAAAUCGUGGAGAAUGAAAAGAAGCAGUCAAAUAGAAAUAGGAGAAGAACCAGAGUAAAAAAGGAGAAAAAAUAACAUUUAAAAGGGGAAAGAUCUGCUUAUUCCAUAGAAUCCGGCAGUCAAAUAGAAAUAGGAGAAGAACUAGAAUCAAAAAGGAGAAAAAAUAACAUUUAAAAGGGGAAAGAUCUGCUUAUUCCAUUGAGCUUGUUCAACAAUGUGCACUCUGGAUCCGCGUGAAACGCUAAGGUAGCUUGCUUACUUAGUACUUGCGCUAAGGGCUAGGGUUGCUCUUUUGGUAACUCUAACUGUAGAUUUUUUACCUUGACUCUUUCGGUAUCGGUAUGCCUUCGAUGAUUACUACUUUAAUGAAGAAUCCGGAUUCUCUUUGUGAGGAUUUCGGGAAUCCGUGAAUCAUAUAUGUUCAUCGUACAUCAUACAGUUAGAAAUUAUUUUAAAUAUUUUUAUUUAAAAUUAAAUACAAACCGUACCUGAUAAAAACUAACCGUACAAUAUACAAUGAAUAAACAUAAUUUAAGGAUUCCUAAAGGAUCCGGAAAGGAUCUGUUGGUAUUCAGGUUGGUUCGGUAUUACUGUGAUUUAAAAAAAAGCUGCUUCUGUUGUAUUGUGAGAAUAAACCGCUGUAAAAUAAGGCAACAGAGUGUUUGAUAAACAUUUUUGUAAAAGUGUUUUUGAAAAAAAAAACAGUAUUAUAAUGUUUGAUAAACUUUUAUGUAAAACAGAUGUGAAAAAAAAUCGGUUUUUCAAAGUUGGGUUUUGCAGCUUUGUGUUUUUGGUUUUUUUUUCAUCCAAAACUAUGAAAAAAAGCUGAAACUGAAUGUUUACCAAACACAAAAAAACCCCCAAUUUUUUUAAUAUUUAUUUUUUUUUAAAUUAUCUCAGUACCAAAUCAGAUCUUUAAAAAAAAAAAAAUGAGAAGCAGGCUUGGAAGUCGCAAGCUGACUACUGAUGUGAUAGAAGCAGAACAAACAGAGAGACUUUAAAACAAGAACAACAUAGAAAAAGGAACAUGAAAGACUCAAAAUCAUAUUCACACAUAAAAUAUAAUGCUCAUGUGUCUAAUCGUAUUACCCAAUCACCGUCACGCUUUCAGAAUACAAAAAGAUUUCUUGAUCACAUAAACUAUAAGAAACCCAUUAUUUUAAUAGAUCCAUUUAUCCUCAGUCGGAUUAUUAUUAUUUGAUAUUGUUGAAUUUUGGAUGUGUAUUUCAUAUCAAAACAAUUACAAGAUGAAACAUUAUAUAGGAAAAGAAAGUAGACAUAAGCCUAACUUGCCUAACUUGCCUAACUUGCCUAAUUUACACAAGGAAUGUUGACUAGCCUAACUUCAAUAGUCAUCCAACAUGUUUAUUUCAUGCAUGCAUUUUAACAAAAGAUAAGACUUGCAUGCAUUCCAACACUCCCCCUCAAGCUGGAUCGAGGGGAUUCCUUGAGCCAAGCUUGGACAGAAUGCGCAUGAACUGAACCGUAGGAAGAGGUUUAGUAAAAAUAACGCUUUGCUUCUUGCUGCGCCAUGUUACCAAAUUCCCACUUGAAAUGGCUUCGUGCCGCAAACAAACAGUAAUGGCUUCGUGCCACAAACAAACAAACUUGAAAUGGCUUCGUGCCGCAAACAAACAGUAAUGGCUUCGUGCCGCAAACAAAGAAUAAUGGCUUCGUGCCACAAACUUGAACAACGUUAGGUAGAGCUAAAGCAUCCAUCGAGCUCUCAGCUUCAUAAUGUUCUCCAGCCAUCUUGGCUUAGAGUAAAAGUUCUCCAGCCAUCUUGGCUUAGAGUAAAUGUUCUCCAGCCAUAUUGGCUUAGAGUAAAAGAAACUUAGCAGAAACGAUCAACAGAGCAUCCAUCGAGCACUCAACUUCAUAAUGUUCUCCAGCCAUCUUGGCUUAGAGUAAAAGAAACUUAGCGGAAACGAUCAACAGAGCCAGGAAUUUCGAGUUCCUGCUCUGAUACCAUGUUGAAUUUUGAU